rnacentral:rRNA from 1 species
GAUGAACGCUGGCGGCGUGCCUAAUACAUGCAAGUCGAGCGAACAGACGAGAAGCUUGCUCCUCUGACGUUAGCGGCGGACGGGUGAGUAACACGUGGAUAACCUACCUAUAAGACUGGGAUAACUUCGGGAAACCGGAGCUAAUACCGGAUAAUAUAUUGAACCGCAUGGUUCAAUAGUGAAAGACGGUUUUGCUGUCACUUAUAGAUGGAUCCGCGCCGCAUUAGCUAGUUGGUAAGGUAACGGCUUACCAAGGCAACGAUGCGUAGCCGACCUGAGAGGGUGAUCGGCCACACUGGAACUGAGACACGGUCCAGACUCCUACGGGAGGCAGCAGUAGGGAAUAUUCGGCAAUGGGCGAAAGCCUGACGGAGCAACGCCGCGUGAGUGAUGAAGGUCUUCGGAUCGUAAAACUCGGUUAUUAGGGAAGAACAAAUGUGUAAGUCACUAUGCACGUCUUAACGGUACCUAAUCAGAAAGCCACGGCUAACUACGUG